AUGGAGCCGCACCUCUCCAUCUCUCCCAUGGCGCCAGCUGGAGCCAACGAGGUCAGUCCGCGGUCAGAUCUGCCACGGCCACAGAGGGCCUUUCGGAUCCGCGCCGUCGUCGAGCUUGAUCCGCGCCCUCCCAGGCACACCAUGGCCGACGUCCUCAAGGAGGAGGAGGAGGAUGACCAGGACAUGCGCGACCCCACACCCGGGCCUGACGAGCUUGAAGAGGAGAUCGCCGAGUCCGACCUCAAGCUCGACCAUGACGGUGUCGUCCAUCCCGACCACGACGACGCGCGACAGAAGCGCCCUCCCCAGCAGCAGCAGCAGCACACGAUGAGCGGCGCGAGGUGGGCGGCGAGGCCGGCGACCUUCACGGCGGCACAGGACGAGGAGUUGGAGCAGCAGGCGCUCAUCUACAAGUACCUCGUCGCCGGCGUCCCCGUCCCGCCGGAUCUCCGCCUCCCCAUCCGCCGCGGCUUUGACUCCCUCGCCUCGUGCUUCUACCACCACCACGCCCGUGCAAAGAUUGAACCUCUCAAUGUGAUAUUUGGCCACGAGGGAGGUGGUGAUCAGGUGAACAACAUAUGCCUGGAAGACCUCUGGCCCAGCUCAACUCCAUCUCCAUGCACCUCGGCGAGAUCGUCGGUAAUGGACGCCGCCUGCCUCGUAUCAUUCUUUCUGGAUAACAUUCUAGUGUGGCAACAUUUAGUAAUUUACAGCUGCCUGUUUAUGGUGCUAUGCAAACUCUGA
rnacentral:rRNA from 1 species